GGAAGGGUAGCGAAGAGGCUAAACGCGGCGGACUGUAAAUCCACUCCUUCGGGUUCGGGGGUUCGAAUCCCUCCCCUUCCA
rnacentral:tRNA from 1 species